ACGAACGCUGGCGGCGUGCCUAAUACAUGCAAGUCGAACGCUUCUUUUUCCACCGGAGCUUGCUCCACCGGAAAAAGAGGAGUGGCGAACGGGUGAGUAACACGUGGGUAACCUGCCCAUCAGAAGGGGAUAACACUUGGAAACAGGUGCUAAUACCGUAUAACAAUCGAAACCGCAUGGUUUUGAUUUGAAAGGCGCUUUCGGGUGUCGCUGAUGGAUGGACCCGCGGUGCAUUAGCUAGUUGGUGAGGUAACGGCUCACCAAGGCGACGAUGCAUAGCCGACCUGAGAGGGUGAUCGGCCACAUUGGGACUGAGACACGGCCCAAACUCCUACGGGAGGCAGCAGUAGGGAAUCUUCGGCAAUGGACGAAAGUCUGACCGAGCAACGCCGCGUGAGUGAAGAAGGUUUUCGGAUCGUAAAACUCUGUUGUUAGAGAAGAACAAGGAUGAGAGUAACUGUUCAUCCCUUGACGGUAUCUAACCAGAAAGCCACGGCUAACUACGUGCCAGCAGCCGCGGUAAUACGUAGGUGGCAAGCGUUGUCCGGAUUUAUUGGGCGUAAAGCGAGCGCAGGCGGUUUCUUAAGUCUGAUGUGAAAGCCCCCGGCUCAACCGGGGAGGGUCAUUGGAAACUGGGAGACUUGAGUGCAGAAGAGGAGAGUGGAAUUCCAUGUGUAGCGGUGAAAUGCGUAGAUAUAUGGAGGAACACCAGUGGCGAAGGCGGCUCUCUGGUCUGUAACUGACGCUGAGGCUCGAAAGCGUGGGGAGCAAACAGGAUUAGAUACCCUGGUAGUCCACGCCGUAAACGAUGAGUGCUAAGUGUUGGAGGGUUUCCGCCCUUCAGUGCUGCAGCUAACGCAUUAAGCACUCCGCCUGGGGAGUACGACCGCAAGGUUGAAACUCAAAGGAAUUGACGGGGGCCCGCACAAGCGGUGGAGCAUGUGGUUUAAUUCGAAGCAACGCGAAGAACCUUACCAGGUCUUGACAUCCUUUGACCACUCUAGAGAUAGAGCUUCCCCUUCGGGGGCAAAGUGACAGGUGGUGCAUGGUUGUCGUCAGCUCGUGUCGUGAGAUGUUGGGUUAAGUCCCGCAACGAGCGCAACCCUUAUUGUUAGUUGCCAUCAUUUAGUUGGGCACUCUAGCAAGACUGCCGGUGACAAACCGGAGGAAGGUGGGGAUGACGUCAAAUCAUCAUGCCCCUUAUGACCUGGGCUACACACGUGCUACAAUGGGAAGUACAACGAGUCGCAAAGUCGCGAGGCUAAGCUAAUCUCUUAAAGCUUCUCUCAGUUCGGAUUGUAGGCUGCAACUCGCCUACAUGAAGCCGGAAUCGCUAGUAAUCGCGGAUCAGCACGCCGCGGUGAAUACGUUCCCGGGCCUUGUACACACCGCCCGUCACGCCACGAGAGUUUGUAACACCCGAAGUCGGUGAGGUAACCUUUUGGAGCCAGCCGCCUAAGGUGGGAUAGAUGAUUGGGGUG
rnacentral:rRNA from 1 species